GCAGCCUGAUGCAGCAACGCCGCGUGAGGGANGACGGCCUUCGGGUUGUAAACCUCUUUUAGUAGGGAAGAAGCGAAAGUGACGGUACCUGCAGAAAAAGCACCGGCUAACUACGUGCCAGCAGCCGCGGUAAUACGUAGGGUGCAAGCGUUAUCCGGAAUUAUUGGGCGUAAAGAGCUCGUAGGCGGUUUGUCACGUCUGCUGUGAAAACUGGAGGCUCAACCUCCAGCCUGCAGUGGGUACGGGCAGACUAGAGUGCGGUAGGGGAGAUUGGAAUUCCUGGUGUAGCGGUGGAAUGCGCAGAUAUCAGGAGGAACACCGAUGGCGAAGGCAGAUCUCUGGGCCGUAACUGACGCUGAGGAGCGAAAGCAUGGGGAGCGAACAGGAUUAGAUACCCUGGUAGUCCAUGCCGUAAACGUUGGGAACUAGAUGUAGGGACCAUUCCACGGUUUCUGUGUCGCAGCUAACGCAUUAAGUUCCCC
rnacentral:rRNA from 1 species